rnacentral:rRNA from 1 species
AACCUGGUUGAUCCUGCCAGUAGUCAUAUGCUUGUCUCAAAGAUUAAGCCAUGCAUGUCUAAGUGUAAAUAACUUUAUACUGUGAAACUGCGAAUGGCUCAUUAAAUCAGUUAUCGUUUAUUUGAUGGUCUCUUACUACUUGGAUAACCGUAGUAAUUCUAGAGCUAAUACAUGCACAAAAUCCCGACUUCUGGAAGGGAUGUAUUUAUUAGAUACAGAACCAACCCACUCCGGUGGUUUUUGGUGAUUCAU